rnacentral:rRNA from 1 species
GUACGAGAACACUUCAGCUUGCUGAAGCUAGUAAAGUGGCGUACGGGUGAGUAACGCGUGGGUAAUCUACCUUCGAAUUGGGGAUAACGUUACGAAAGUGACGCUAAUACCGGAUAAUAUCAUAGGGACUUCGGUUCUUAUGAUCAAAGAUGGCCUCUCCUUGGAAGCUAUUGUUUGGAGAUGAGCCCGCGUCCCAUUAGCUUGUUGGUAGGGUAAUGGCCUACCAAGGCGACGAUGGGUAGCUGGUCUGAGAGGAUGAUCAGCCACACUGGAACUGACACACGGUCCAGACUCCUACGGGAGGCAGCAGUGAGGAAUUUUGCGCAAUGGGGGAAACCCUGAUGCAGCAACGCCGCGUGAGUGAUGAAGGCUUUCGGGUCGUAAAGCUCUGUCAAGUGGGAAGAACUCCCAUGAGGUUAAUACCCUCAUGGUUUGACGGUACCACUGAAGGAAGCACCGGCUAACUCCGUGCCAGUAGUUGUGGUAAUACGGGGGGUGCAAGCGUUAUUCGGAUUUACUGGGCGUAAAGCGCGCGUAGGCGGCCGUUUAAGUCAGAUGUGAAAGCCCGGGGUUUAAUCCCGGAAGUGUAUUUGAUAUUAUUCGGCUUGAGUAUGGGAGAGGGAAGUGGAAUUCCUGGUGUAGAGGUGAAAUUUGUAGAUAUUAGGAGGAAUACCGGUGGUGAAGGCGACUUCCUGGACCAAUACUGACGCUGAGGCGCGAAGGCGUGGGUAGCAAACAGGAUUAGAUAUCCUGGUAGUUUAUGCAGUAAACGGUGAUCACUAGGUGUAGCGGGUAUUGAUUCCUGCUGUGCCGCAGUUAACGCAUUAAGUGAUCCGCCUGGGGAGUACGGCCGCAAGGUUAAAACUCAAAGGAAUUGACGGGGGCCCGCAUAAGUGGUGGAGCAUGUGGUUUAAUUUGAUGCAAUGUGAAGAACCUUACCUGGAUUUGACAUCUCGGGAAUUUCUAUGAAAGUAGGAAGUGCCCUUCGGGGAGCCCGAAGACAGGUGUUGUAUGGCUGUCGUCAGCUCGUGUUGUGAGAUGUUGGGUUAAGUUUUGUAACGAGUGCAACCCCUAUCUUUAGUUACCAGCACUUUGGGUGGGGAUUCUAAAGAUACUGCCCCGGUUAACGGGGAGGAAGGUGGGGAUGACGUCAAGUCCUCAUGGCCUUUAUGUCCAGGGCUACACACGUGUUAUAAUGGGCAGUACAGAGGGUCGUGAUAUUGUGAGGUGGAGUUAAUUUUUUAAAGCUGUUCUAAGUUCGGAUUGGAGUCUGUAAUUUGACUCCAUGAAGCUGGAAUCGCUAGUAAUCGCGGAUUAGUAUGCCGUGGUGAAUAUGUUUUUGGGCCUUGUACACACCGCCCGUCACACCAUGAGAGUUGGUUGUACCCGACGUCGCUGGGUAAACUCAUUAGAGAUGUAGGCGUUUAAGGUAUGGCUGAUGAUUGGGGUGAAGUUGAAAUAAGGUA